rnacentral:rRNA from 1 species
GUCUACGGCCAAACCACCCUGAACGUGCCUGAUCUCUUCUGAUAUAGAAGCUAAGCAGGAUCGGGCCUGGUUAGUACUUGGAUGGGAGGGACUGUUGGAAGCCUCCUUGCUUGUGAAUG